UGAGUUAAUAUGAAAUAAUUUUCCUAAAUGUAAAAAUAACAUGAUGUUAUAUAUGCGGUUUGGCGUGAAUAUAUAUAUAAUAUAUAUGUGAUUUCUGCCUAGUGAUCUGAAUGUCAUCUAGUUAUACAUAUCAAGAAUUUUCGAUGGGCUUUUUCAGAAGAUAGGAUACGAAGAAAAUUUUAAUGAUGACGAUAUCACAAAGAUCCUAAGGCUAGAUGCCACGAAAUGGGCAUGUAUCGUCGAUUAUGCAGAAGCGGAAUGCAAGUUAUAUAUUGACGGCAGGGAGCUGAUGCCGAGGAGAUCAAUCCCGUUUACGCGAAGGAAUUAUUCAAUUAGAUAAAGAACUAAAGUUUCGUCAUAUCUGAAAAAUGGCACCACCGAAGGUAUUACUCGGACAAAAUCGACAAAACAGCACUGCAACUUUGAGGAAAGGAAUAACGACCAGAAGUCAAAAUUCUUUACAGAGCAAUGUAUUACGACAACCCAAUGUUGGUAGAGAAACCCGCGCCAAGCGAAAAGCGGAAGUUUCGCCAUCUAAAGAAAAAACACAUAAAAGAUGCGCUUUUGCAAACAUAUAUAUAAUAUUUACUGUAGAAAGAAGUACUGUAGAAAGAACUUUAAAACAUCAGCUUGUAGAAGAUUAAUUACAUUCUUCUGUUGGAGACUAAUGCUUUAAAAUUUUUUAUUUUAUUCUCCAAUAAAAUAUCCGUCUUAUUCAAAUGGAAUCUAUAUAAAUGU